rnacentral:rRNA from 1 species
GAUGAACGCUGACAGAAUGCUUAACACAUGCAAGUCAACUUGAACUUCGGUUUGGGUGGCGGACGGGUGAGUAACGCGUAAAGAACUUGCCUCACAGAUAGGGACAACAUUUGGAAACGAAUGCUAAUACCUGAUAUUAUGAUUAUAUGGCAUCGUAUAAUUAUGAAAGCUAUAUGCGCUGUGAGAGAGCUUUGCGUCCCAUUAGCUAGUUGGAGAGGUAACGGCUCACCAAGGCGAUGAUGGGUAGCCGGCCGGAGAGGGUGAUCGGCCACAAGGGGACUGAGACACGGCCCUUACUCCUACGGGAGGCAGCAGUGGGGAAUAUUGGACAAUGGACCAAGAGUCUGAUCCAGCAAUUCUGUGUGCACGAUGAAGUUUUUCGGAAUGUAAAGUGCUUUCAGUUGGGAAGAAAAAAAUGACGGUACCAACAGAAGAAGUGACGGCUAAAUACGUG